AAAGAAAAGCCUCUAAGCUUCAGUCUAACGAGACCGUACCGCAAACCGACACAGGUGGGCGAGAUGAGUAUUCUAAGGCGCUUGAGAGAACUCGGGAGAAGGAACUCGGCAAAUUGGUACCGUAACUUCGGGAUAAGGUACGCCCUUGUAGUUUGACUGGCCUGCGCCAGAAGGACGAAGGGGUUGCAAUAAAUUGGUGGCUGCGACUGUUUAAUAAAAACACAGCACUCUGCAAACACGAAAGUGGACGUAUAGGGUGUGACUCCUGCCCGGUGCUGUAAGAUUAAAUGAUGGGGUGCAAGCUCUUGAUUGAAGUCCCAGUAAACGGCGGCCGUAACAAUAACGGUCCUAAGGUAGCGAAAUUCCUUGUCGGGUAAGUUCCGACCUGCACGAAUGGAGUAACGAUGGCCACACUGUCUCCUCCCGAGACUCAGCGAAGUUGAAAUGUUUGUGAUGAUGCAAUCUACCCGCGGCUAGACGGAAAGACCCCAUGAACCUUUACUGUAGCUUUGCAUUGGACUUUGAACCAAUCUGUGUAGGAUAGGUGGGAGGCUUUGAAGCGGGGACGCCAGUUCUCGUGGAGCCAUCCUUGAAAUACCACCCUGGUUUGUUUGAGGUUCUAACCUUGGCCCGUUAUCCGGAUCGGGGACAGUGCAUGGUAGGCAGUUUGACUGGGGCGGUCUCCUCCCAAAGUGUAACGGAGGAGUUCGAAGGUACGCUAAUUACGGUCGGACAUCGUGAUGAUAGUGCAAUGGCAUAAGCGUGCUUAACUGCGAGACUGACAAGUCGAGCAGGUACGAAAGUAGGACAUAGUGAUCCGGUGGUUCUGUAUGGAAGGGCCAUCGCUCAACGGAUAAAAGGUACUCUGGGGAUAACAGGCUGAUUCCUCCCAAGAGUUCAUAUCGACGGGGGAGUUUGGCACCUCGAUGUCGGCUCAUCACAUCCUGGGGCUGCAGCCGGUCCAAAGGGUAUGGCUGUUCGCCAUUUAAAGUGGUACGUGAGCUGGGUUUAAAACGUCGUGAGACAGUUUGGUCCCUAUCUGCCGUGGGCGUUGGAAAUUUGAAGGGGGCUGCUCCUAGUACGAGAGGACCGGAGUGGACGAACCUCUGGUGUACCGGUUGUCACGCCAGUGGCAUUGCCGGGUAGCUAAGUUCGGAAGAGAUAACCGCUGAAAGCAUCUAAGCGGGAAACUUGCCUUGAGAUGAGAUUUCCCAGAGCCUUGAGCUCUUUAAAGGGUCGUUCGAGACCAGGACGUUGAUAGGCUGGGUGUGGAAGCG
rnacentral:rRNA from 1 species